rnacentral:rRNA from 1 species
CAGGGAGUGCUUGCACUCUGCUGACGACCGGCGCACGGGUGCGUAACGCGUAUGCAACCUACCUUCUACAGGGGGAUAGUCCAGAGAAAUUUGGCAUAAUACCCCAUACGAUCAUUUAUUGGCAUCGAUAGAUGAGGAAAACUCCGGUGGUAGAAGAUGGGCAUGCGUCCUAUUAGUUAGUUGGUAAGGUAACGGCUUACCAAGACAUCGAUAGGUAGGGGUCCUGAGAGGGAGAUCCCCCACACUGGUACUGAGACACGGACCAGACUCCUACGGGAGGCAGCAGUGAGGAAUAUUGGACAAUGGAGGCAACUCUGAUCCAGCCAUGCCGCGUGCAGGAAGACGGCCCUAUGGGUUGUAAACUGCUUUUAUACAGGAAGAAACGCCGCUACGUGUAGCGGUUUGACGGUACUGUACGAAUAAGGAUCGGCUAACUCCGUGCCAGCAGCCGCGGUAAUACGGAGGAUCCAAGCGUUAUCCGGAAUCAUUGGGUUUAAAGGGUCCGUAGGCGGUUUUUUAAGUCAGAGGUGAAAUCCUGCAGCUCAACUGUAGCAUUGCCUUUGAUACUGAAAGACUUGAGUUAUUGUGAAGUAGUUAGAAUGUGUAGUGUAGCGGUGAAAUGCAUAGAUAUUACACAGAAUACCGAUUGCGAAAGCAGAUUACUAACAAUAUACUGACGCUGAGGGACGAAAGCGUGGGUAGCGAACAGGAUUAGAUACCCUGGUAGUCCACGCCGUAAACGAUGGAUACUAGCUGUUCGACCAACAUUGGUUGGUUGAGUGGCUAAGCGAAAG